GAUCCUGGCUCAGGACGAACGCUGGCGGCGCGCCUAACACAUGCAAGUCGAACGAGAGAGAGGAGCUUGCUUCCUUGAUCGAGUGGCGAACGGGUGAGUAACGCGUGAGGAACCUGCCUCAAAGAGGGGGACAACGGUUGGAAACGACUGCUAAUACCGCAUAAGCCCACGACCCGGCAUCGGGAAGAGGGAAAAGGAGCAAUCCGCUUUGAGAUGGCCUCGCGUCCGAUUAGCUAGUUGGUGAGGUAACGG
rnacentral:rRNA from 1 species